rnacentral:rRNA from 1 species
UACAGAGGGGGCAAGCGUUGUUCGGAAUUACUGGGCGUAAAGGGCGCGUAGGCGGCCUGUUAAGUCGGACGUGAAAUCCCUCGGCUCAACCGGGGAACUGCGUCCGAUACUGGCGGGCUUGAAUUCGGGAGAGGGAUGCGGAAUUCCAGGUGUAGCGGUGAAAUGCGUAGAUAUCUGGAGGAACACCGGUGGCGAAGGCGGCGUCCUGGACCAACACUGACACUGAUGAGCGAAAGCCAGGGGAGCAAACGGG